rnacentral:misc_RNA from 1 species
CUUCAACCUAUCGUUCUACAUUGUUUAACAGUCACAGCAGACUACCUAAAAACUUCUCUACAAAUACUCUCUUUUUUUAUCUAAACACUGCUAUAUGCCAGCAUGACUGGCAUAGGAACCAACUAGGACCAACAAACUUGGGAUAACAACUUGCACACCACUGAUUACACAAACCAAUAGAGAUCAAUAACCUCAAAGAAAUUGAAAAUACUUGGAAAUGCAUGGAUUGAACGUAACAACUCCCAAAUUCUUCUUACAAGAGUUAUUGGAUCCAAACAAAGAAGCUAUCUUACUGAUCAUAAGCAGAAAGGAAAUGAAGUUCCAAGCACCCCUUGCAAGGGUUCUUCGAUAACAUAAUUCACAUUGAUUUCGGACUCCAAAACGUUCAGUAGUUGUCUUGGGUUCAAUCCAAAGAAAAAGGCACAAAGUUCACUGCAAGUUUUACUAUUAUCUCCUGGGCCACAUAUACAUCAAACCACUGAAGAGCAUUGAUCCAUGGACAGGAAGGCCACCACUCAACAGUACAAAAUGAUAUGAGAAAUUAUCUUAGCCUUCAUUUGAAAAGAAGGUAAUUAUCAUUUUCUCGUUACCUCUAACUAAUAGUACUGCUAUAAUUAAAAAAAAAAAAUCCUUUUUGACAUUUCACCCACUUUGGCUGGUGUGGGAUCACAACUAGGAAAUAUUGUUUUUUUGUUUAUCUAAGUCUAAGCCUUAGUUUUUUUUAAUAACAUGUAUGAUAAGAAGCUACUUAAGGUUUGAGAAUUGAGAGCAUCAAAUAACAUAUAGCUAUUUCUGGUUAGAUGGAUGAUGGAUCAAUAUAUAGAGGCUGAAUUACCAAUAUUAAACAAAUGAAAGUGAUACUUUAAACUUAUAUCUCUACGUACCAGAAGUGCCUUGUUUCGAUGACUGAGGCAAUCGAAGCAACCUGGUAAUCCUGUUUUGAUGGAUAUCCCCAUCUUGAGGACAAACUUCACUUAGG